GGUCCCAUAGCUCAGUUGGUUAGAGCGUCGUACUAAUACCAAAUCGUCUCAUGCGAAGGCCGAGAGUUCGAGCCUCUCUGGGACCA